CCCUUGAACGUUGUCCUAGAUCAGCUCUAGUGCUUGGGUUGAGACCUUUCUGAACAAGGUGACAGAGGGUAAUGGAGAAAGGUUUUCCCAAGAGAAACUCUGGGAAGCCAUUGACGAGCAGAAAGCGCGCGGAGUGGCAGGGGUCAUUACCGUCGUUACUGGCAGUAAUGACGCGGCUGGUUCCACGUGAUGAGAGCUUCCUGCUUUCCAGUGUGUGCAGCAAAACUCAGAUUAAGAUUUUGGUGCUGGUGUCCACUGAAUUUUAAAAGCUCAUCAAAAUUCCCAAGGCAGGGUGCAACCUUUUCAAGUGUGGCUCUAACCUGCAUCUAUCUAAGCACCAGUCAAGCCCGUUGCAUCCACAGCUCAACUUCAGGCCUUGGGGGGCAUUUUUCUAAUAGAUUUUGAGGUCCCACUGUGCCUUCACCAAGACAUACUGUUCCACUCCUGCAUGCCACCCCUACGUAUUUACUGAUCUUCUUAAGUCAUUCUCUAGUUUUUUACUCCCUCCGUCAGCACCAGCACCGUGGUGAUCUUCACCUACUGUUUGUUCCUGGAACCCGGGGCAGGAAUCUGCCAUUCACAUUCAUAAGAGCUCUCCGGGUCUUCCUCAACAAUAUCUUCUUGGAUGCCCUUUAUUAGAGCAGGAAGGAACAGAGAAGAUACCCUUCAGGAUCAUCCAGUACUGUGGAGGGCAGCCUCCCCUUCUCCUUGCUUUCCUCCACCCACCUGGGACAGAACUUUGCACUUGCCAAAGUAUUUUCCCAUGGCGUAUCUUCUUUGAUUGUAAACUGAGCUAUGAGGGUCCUGUCUCAUGUAGCACACUGUAGUGUGAUGUCUGCUGACAUGCCCACUGCCCCAUACAGAGGGAAUUUGGAAAAUUGGAUAUUCAAUCAUACAGCAGGCUUGACCAGCCUGGAUUUUCCUCACUGAAGUUUUGACGACGCUGUUACGGCCAGCACAGCCACUCCUGGAUGUGACUCUAGAAAGGAUUUUGAUGGCCAACAACCUUUCAUAGCUCUGCAGUCUUUGGGCAUCAAUCACCAGGGGAGUCUUGGCAACAGUGAACCCCAUUCACGGAGUAGGUCCUGAUGCUGAGGAUUCUGUCCUCAAGCUUUUCUACCAAAACUAACCUCCUCAAUUCCCUAUAUGGCAAAGGAUCCUGUUUUCUGUUACAGAGAGUCUAGCUGUCUCAAUGAAGAUUUAACAUUAAUAGUUAACAAAACCUCAGAAUGCUCAAUGCAUUCUUUACACUUGAACAAAAGCUCCUUCAAACUCCUUAAC
rnacentral:lncRNA from 1 species